rnacentral:rRNA from 1 species
UACAGAGGGUGCAAGCGUUAAUCGGAAUUACUGGGCGUAAAGGGUGCGUAGGUGGUUUAUUAAGUCAGGCGUGAAAUCCCCGGGCUUAACCUGGGAACUGCGUUUGUGACUGCCAGGCUAGAGUACGGCAGAGGGGGGUGGAAUUCCACGUGUAGCAGUGAAAUGCGUAGAGAUGUGGAGGAACACCAAUGGCGAAGGCAGCCCCCUGGGUCGAUACUGACGCUCAUGCACGAAAGCGUGGGUAGCAAACAGGAUUAGAUACCCGUGUAGU